rnacentral:rRNA from 1 species
GGGUUGAUCCUGCCGGACCCGACUGCUAUCAGAGUGGGACUAAGCCAUGCGAGUCAGCAUAGCAAUAUGUGGCAUACGGCUCAGUAACACGUAGUCAACAUGCCCAGGGGACGUGGAUAACCUCGGGAAACUGAGGAUAAACCGCGAUAAGUCACUGCUUCUGGAAUGGGCAAUGACUUAAAUCUAUAUGGCCCCUGGAUUGGACUGCGGCCGAUCAGGCUGUUGGUGAGGUAAUGGCCCACCAAACCUGUAACCGGUACGGGCUCUGAGAGGAGGAGCCCGGAGAUGGGCACUGAGACAAGGGCCCAGGCCCUAUGGGGCGCAGCAGGCGCGAAACCUCUGCAAUAGGCGAAAGCCUGACAGGGUUACUCUGAGUGAUUUCCGUUAAGGAGAUCUUUUGGCACCUCUAAAAAUGGUGCAGAAUAAGGGGUGGGCAAGUCUGGUGUCAGCCGCCGCGGUAAUACCAGCACCCCGAGUGGUCGGGACGUUUAUUGGGCCUAAAGCAUCCGUAGCCGGUUCUGCAAGUCUUCCGUUAAAUCCACCUGCUUAACAGAUGGGCUGCGGAAGAUACUAUAGAGCUAGGAGGCGGGAGAGGCAAGCGGUACUCGAUGGGUAGGGGUAAAAUCCGUUGGUCCAUUGAAGACCACCAGUGGCGAAGGCGGCUUGCCAGAACGCGCUCGACGGUGAGGGAUGAAAGCUGGGGGAGCAAACCGGAUUAGAUACCCGGGUAGUCCCAGCUGUAAACGAUGCAGACUCGGUGAUGAAUUGGCUUUAUGCCAAUUCAGUGCCGCAGGGAAGCCGUUAAGUUUGCCGCCUGGGGAGUACGGUCGCAAGACUGAAACUUAAAGGAAUUGGCGGGGGAGCACCACAAGGGGUGAAGCCUGCGGUUCAAUUGGAGCAACGCCGGAAAUCUUACCGGGGGCGACAGCAGAAUGAAGGUCAAGCUGAAGACUUUACCAGACAAGCUGAGAGGAGGUGCAUGGCCGUCGCCAGCUCGUGCCGUGAGGUGUCCUGCUAAGUCAGGUAACGAGCGAGACCCCUGCCUCUAGUUGCUACCAUUAUUCUCAGGAGUAGUGGAGCUAAUUAGAGGGACUGCCGUCGCUGAGACGGAGGAAGGAGGGGGCUACGGCAGGUCAGUAUGCCCCGAAACCCUCGGGCCACACGCGGGCUGCAAUGGUAAGGACAAUGAGUAUCGAUUCCGAAAGGAGGAGGCAAUCUCUAAACCUUACCACAGUUAUGAUUGAGGGCUGAAACUCGCCCUCAUGAAUAUGGAAUCCCUAGUAACCGCGUGUCACUAUCGCGCGGUGAAUACGUCCCUGCUCCUUGCACACACCGCCCGUCGCUUCAUCGAAGUUGGUUCUUGGCGAGGUGAUGCCUAAUUGGUACUAUCGAACCUGGGGUCAGCAACGAGGGAG